rnacentral:rRNA from 1 species
AUUGAACGCUGGCGGCAGGCCUAACACAUGCAAGUCGAGCGGAUGAAGGGAGCUUGCUCCUGGAUUCAGCGGCGGACGGGUGAGUAAUGCCUAGGAAUCUGCCUGGUAGUGGGGGAUAGCGUCCGGAGACGGGCGCUAAUACCGCAUACGUCCUGAGGGAGAAAGUGGGGGAUCUUCGGACCUCACGCUAUCAGAUGAGCCUAGGUCGGAUUAGCUAGUUGGUGGGGUAAAGGCCUACCAAGGCGACGAUCCGUAACUGGUCUGAGAGGAUGAUCAGUCACACUGGAACUGAGACACGGUCCAGACUCCUACGGGAGGCAGCAGUGGGGAAUAUUGGACAAUGGGCGAAAGCCUGAUCCAGCCAUGCCGCGUGUGUGAAGAAGGUCUUCGGAUUGUAAAGCACUUUAAGUUGGGAGGAAGGGCAGUAAGUUAAUACCUUGCUGUUUUGACGUUACCAACAGAAUAAGCACCGGCUAACUUCGUG